rnacentral:rRNA from 1 species
UACGGAGGAGGCAAGCGUUAUCCGGAAUUAUUGGGCGUAAAGCGUCCGUAGGUGGCUCUUCAAGUCUGCUGUCAAAGAGCGGGGCUUAACCCUGCAAAGGCAGUGGAAACUGAAAGGCUAGAGAGCCGUAGGGGUAGAGGGAAUUCCCGGUGUAGCGGUGAAAUGCGUAGAGAUCGGGAAGAACAUCGGUGGCGAAGGCGGCCCGCUGGGCAGGAAGGCUCGCAAGAGCCGGCUGACGCUGAGGCGCGACAGCGUGGGGAGCAAACAGG